GAUGAAGAACGCAGCGAAAUGCGAUACGUAAUGUGAAUUGCAAAUUCAGUGAAUCAUCGAAUCUUUGAACGCACAUUGCGCCCGCCGGUAUUCCGGCGGGCAUGCCUGUCCGAGCGUCAUUUCACCACUCAAGCCCAGCUUGGUGUUGGGGCACCCGGCCGCCUGGCGGCCGGGGCCCCCAAGUACAUCGGCGGUCCCGCUGGGGGCACCGAGCGCAGUAGCUCGCGGUAAAACGCGCCCUCGCUCGGCGGCCUCUUCGGGCUUCCAGCCGCUAAACCCGCGUCCACCGACGCCCUUUCGAGUUGACCUCGGAUCAGGUAGGAAUACCCGCUGAACUUAAGCAUAUCAAUAAGCGGAGGA
rnacentral:misc_RNA from 1 species